rnacentral:rRNA from 1 species
AACGUAGGAGACAACCGUUAUCCGGAGUUACUGGGCGUAAAGGGCGUGUAGGCGGUUAGUUAAGUCUGGCGUGAAAGCUCUCGGCUAAACCGGGAGAGGUCGUCGGAUACUGGCAAACUAGAGGACGGUAGAGGCGUGUGGAAUUCCGGGUGUAGUGGUGAAAUGCGUAGAGAUCCGGAGGAACCCCAGAGGCGAAGGCGGCCCCCUGGCUCGUACCUGACGCUCAGCCACGAAAGCAUGGGGAGCGAACGGG